CCUCUGAGGCUACAGAAGCUCAGUGUGCGGCUAUGGUGAUGCCUGUAGCGGGCUCUGUAACACUUGAUGAUGUUCUGAAAGUGGUAGCAGAGCAGGGCAAAGCCAUAGGGGAGUUAACUCAAGCUGUUCAGAGGCUGACUCUACAAUACCCUAAGCUUGAGUCUGUAAAGUUUCCUAAGUCUACAAUGCAGCCUAGAUUUUCUGAUGAUAGCAAACUAUUUGUUUCAAAUGUGAUGGUGUCGGGCACAUUGCAAGAAACUGUGUCAGAAAAAACAUCAACAUCGUGAUCGGUUACUCAAACAUGCUGCGGGGAAGUGUCCCGUGGGUUGACCUGAAAAUUGGAGGUGUGAUGGUGUCAUGUCUGCUUGAUACCGGAAGCCAGGUCAGUACAAUUACCAAACACUUCUUUAAAGAGCACUUGGCAGGUGAAUGUAAGGAUAUGCUUUCUACAUCUGGUUGGUUGAGAAUUACUGCUGCUAAUGGAUUAAGCAUCCCAUAUUUGGGUUAUCUCGAACUACCAGUUGAAACUAUGGGUAUCACCCUGCCUGAGUGUGGGUUCCUGGUGGUAACAGAUGUACGAAAUUCGUCUGCUGUGCCAGCGCUCAUCGGCAUGAACAUUAUAAGUAGAUGUAGGCAACUAGUGCACGCUGAGUUUGACACCACCCUGGGUGGGGAAUUAGUCAGACUGGAGAGAAGUUUUCAAGCAACUGCAAAGUGUCAGUCAAGCUAAGAAACAGAUUGUUGCACAUAUCGCUGGGAAGGAGACAGUGCAUAUUUGUGUUGUUAUGUGAUAUAAUUAAUGUGUGCGGGCUCCUUUAAGAGCGUUACUUAAUGAUGAUGUCAUCAGCGUCAGACUAGUUCUAGUCGGUUGUUUAUGGGAAGCCAUCAAGCCCUCAUGGCAGCUCUGUCAAUCCUAAUUCAUCUGCUACAUUUCGUGUUCUUUCGAAGGCAUUGUUGGGCUUCAAAUCAUCCGCAGCUGAUACCAAUUAGCUUACCUGCUAUACGGUGUGCCGCAGAUAUAAAACAGCAGAGAGAGACAGCUCGAGGAGAGUUUUUCCUUAUACGCUAUCCCAGCACUGUGGUUGUUGUAUUUGCUAUUAAGCAAUUGGUGAACUGUAAACAUGUGUGGUUACAACGACGUUACUGUUGAUGUGCUAGUCUGCCUUUGUCAACCUGUGUUGCAAGAUGAGCGCCGAUUUAUUUGGGUUUAUACCCCUUCUAUAUUUUUCACCUGUUUUUCUUUAGUCAGGGUGAGAGGUGAGAAUAUUGUUUUUAAUUAUGGGCAGGGAAGUUACUUUGUUAACCUUAAGUAGGUUUCUGUUUUGUUUGUUGUUUUCUGCAUUUGCUCUCUCCUGACUCCUUGGUUGUUUAGGCUUAUUUAUUCUGGCAUUUGUAUAUAACUUGUAUUUAUUGGCUUUUGUUGAGCCCUGAACAAUAAACUCAAUUUAAGAAU